AAGGUAAUAUUUUUUUUCUGCCACUCCUUUACAGGUCCAACUUCAGUGGCUGGUGGCUGGUUGUUAUUCCUACUUCCACUAACCACUUUUAUCAUCCCUUCCUUUCUCCCUCUUCAUCCUCAUCCUCCCUCCUCAUUUUUAUCCUCUCUUCAUCUUUAUGCUUAUCCUUCCUUCUCCUCCUUAUCCUUAUGCUCGUCAUCCUGUCUCCUCUUUAUGAUCAUUCUCUCUCCUCAUCCUGAUUUUCACUUCUCUUCCUCAUCCUCCCUCCCCAUUCUCAUCCUCUCUCCUCCUCCUUAUGCUCGUCCUCCCUUCUCAUCCUUAUCCUCUCUUCUUGUCUUUUAUGUUCCUCAUCCUUAUGCCUAUCCAUCCCUCUUCAUCCUUAUACUCCUCCUCUCCUCAUCAAUAUGCUUAUUCUCUCUCCUCAUCUUCAUCCUCUUCCUCUCUAUAUAUCCUCAAAACUGAGAUUCUUGUAAGACCAAGGUAAAGAAAAGGAUGCUUCCAGCUUUUUUUUUUCCAGGCAGUGUAAAUAGAACUGUCCAGGAGAAAAUAAGACACAGCCGUUCUUUGUUGGGGUUUUUUGUUUGUUUGUUUGUUUUCUUUUGUUUGCCUCCUCUCAAUCUUCAGUGCAAAGAGAUGUAGUCUUAAGAACUCUCCCUCAUCUAAAAGUUUCUGUUUCAAAUGGGAAAGAAUUGACCAUCCUAUUUUGCCAGCAAGGUUGUGGUGUGAUACACAGAUGCUUCCUGUUGCCCUAUUGAAAAUGAUUAACCUCAGAGGAGAUCCGUUAAGCCACCCUAAAGUUAGAUUUUCUAUGUAAAGCAUCAGGUUAACAGUGGUGAAAGGGAUUUGCCAUGACAAUGUAAAUGGAAAGAACAACUACCACAAAACAAUGAAAAAAAUAUAAUGUUUCAAAAUUAAAAGAAUAAGCAUGGCCCAGAGGAAGAGUUAUGAGAAGACACCUCCUUUGCAGAGUAGUCAAGAUUGGCUUCUACUAAUCCACUGACUUUUUUGUUAAGCAUCCAAAUCCUAGAGCAUGAAAUGAAAACCUGGAAAAGUAGCACCACACAGUAACAGCCUAAUGAAGAGAGGUAUACAUUCAGGAAUGAAGGUUAUAUAAAGAUAAAUGAUGAUGAAAUCAAUUUUUAAAAAUAUGGAGAAUUCAGAGAAACAUCAAAAGAUUUAUAUGAACUGAUACAAAAUGUGUAUAACCAAGGAAACUAUAUAUGACUAAAACAAUAAGUGGAAAGAGCAGUAAAACAGAAAGAAAUGAUGAUUUCUCUCUUAAUAAUCAAUUCUUAAUAUUGGAGAGAUUCAGGAUUUUUUCCUUUUCUGUUUCCUCAUUCUCAACUAAGUCAAAUCAGCUCCUGAAGAAUAAGGCUGAUGAUGGAAUUAGAUUUUAACAUUCUCCUCAAUCUAGUUCAGAUCCCACCAACUAGUGAAGAUUAGUUCUGAUUAAAGAGUAAAAACAAUUUAUUCUGGGUGUGUUCUACUCAGAUUUGGGUGGGUAGGUGGAUGGAUCCUUUGUCUAGAUUGCCCAAGGUUCAGGUGGUCUGGAAGUAAGUGACAUAUUCAAGGUCCUGUCCCUAGACCCUCAUUAGAAUAGGUACACUCUUAUUAUAAUAUUCUUCUCAUUAAUUGUUAAUCAAUCAGAGUUGAUUGCUAUUGGGAACAUCCACUUUUCCAAGGGCAUGUAAGCAUCAAUAGGCAGCCCUGAUCCAUCUUUGGUUCAUGAGAGAGGGCCAAUUAUAUCACAAAACAAAACUAAACAUUAUAUUUACAAGGUCCAAGGGGCACAGAUGGAGGGGAAAAUGAAGCUUAGGAAGUCAUUAUGGAGAGGAGGAUAGGCAGAAGAGAAAGAUGUGCUAGCCAUGUUACUUAUAGCAAAUCACUUAACAUGUGUUUUCCUUAGUGUCCUCAUCUGUAAAAUGAGGAUAAUAUAUCUACACUCCAAGGUUGCUGUGAGAAUCAAAUGGGACAAUAAUUGGAAAGCCUGGCACAAAGUACUAUGUGAAUGUUAGCUAUCAUUGAUGAGGAUUGUAUCUGGACCCUAAAAAGGAAAAACCUUGGACUUUCCCACAUGGC